UUUUUAUGCCCCAUUUAUGGGCAUUAUGUUUUCUGGUCUGUGCGUCCGUUCGUUCGUUCGUCCGUCCGUCUGUUCGUUCGUCCGUCUGUCCCGCUUCAGGUUAAAGUUUUUGGUCGAGGUAGUUUUUGAUGAAGUUGAAGUCUAAUCAACUUGAAACUUAGUACAUAUGUUCUGUAUGAUAUGAUCUUUCUAAUUUUAAUUCCAAAUUAGAGAUUUAACCCCAUUUUCACGGUCCACUGAACAUAGAAAAUGAUAGUGCGGAUGGGGCAUCCGUGUACUGGGAAC
rnacentral:lncRNA from 1 species